AUUGAACGCUGGCGGCAGGCUUAACACAUGCAAGUCGAGGGUGAGGCGGGACGGGUGAGUAAUGCGUGGGAACGUACCUUUUGGUUCGGAACAACACAGGGAAACUUGUGCUAAUACCGGAUACCGAAAGAUCGGCACGCGUCUGAUUAGCUAGUUGGUAGGGUAAUGGCCUACCAAGGCGACGAUCAGUAGCUGGUCUGAGAGGAUGAUCAGCCACAUUGGGACUGAGACACGGCCCAAACUCCUACGGGAGGCAGCAGUGGGGAAUAUUGGACAAUGGGGGCAACCCUGAUCCAGCCAUGCCGCGUGAGUGAUGAAGUCCCUAGGGUUGUAAAGCUCUUUUGUGCGGGAAGCGGUACCGCAAGAAUAAGCCCCGGCUAACUUCGUGCCAGCAGCCGCGGUAAUAC
rnacentral:rRNA from 1 species